rnacentral:rRNA from 1 species
AUGGAUCUCCCUUUCUCCGAGGAGGAGGUCUGGGAAGCAAUCAAGCAAACACCGACGGAUCACGCCCCGGGUCCGGAUGGGUUCUCGGGGAUGUUCUACCAAAGCUGCUGGGCUACUAUCAAGCAGGACCUCCUUGAUGCUCUAAAUCAGUUCUACCAUAUAAAAUGCUCAAACUUAGGAACCCUGAACUCUGCAAACGUAGUGCUCCUGGCCAAGCUUGCCGAGGCCGCCGAAAUUGGGCAGUUCAGACCAAUCAGUUUGGUGCACUCUUUUGCAAAGCUCAUUGCAAAGAUCCUGUCCAUUAGACUUGCACCUAGAAUAGCAAACAUCACAUCUCCUGCACAAAGUGCCUUCUUAAAGAGUAGGUGUAUCCAUGACAGCUACCUCUUUGUUAGAAACUCCGCCCGCAGUUUCCAUAGAAAAAAGAAGCAGAUGCUGCUGUUUAAACUGGACAUAGCCAAGGCGUUUGACUCGAUCUCGUGGGAAUACCUACUGGAGCUGCUGCAAAAUCUUGGUUUCCCGCUCAGGUGGCGCAACUGGAUCUCCGCUCUAUUAGCCUCGUCGACCUCUGUCGUCCUCCUCAAUGGAUCCCCAUGCCCAAUAAUUCAACACUUUCGGGGCCUGCGGCAGGGGGACCCCCUAUCCCGUUUUUGUUCAUCUUGGCGAUCGACACACUCCACCGUGUUCUCGAGGCUGCGCAAACCUCUGGUCUUCUUACACGCCUUCCUGGUAGAGCUGCUAAAUUGA